UUCAGAAGACAGGGUCUUCAUGCUUCCAGUAAGAAUACAGUGUGUUGCCUUUCAAAUAGGCUUCCACAAGAGAAUAUUUGCUGUGCUCUCUCGAAAACGGCAUGCAAGCAACUCAGAAACAGAAGGACACCUACAUGCAGGUCAUGUCCUAGCCUGAUAACUGGAGUCAGUGUUUCAGAAAACAAGACUUGGGAGCUCACUCUGCAAGGGGUGUUUUAGGAAGUGUUAUCCUACUGAGUUCGCCUUUCCCCUAGUGUAGUGUUAAUUCUCAACAUGCCCCCCAGUUGACCAUGACAUGCUGUGUUCUUCAAAUAUUUGCAGAGGCCAGUGACAUUGACUUUUCCAAACCAGAGUGGAAACUUAAAAACCUACUGACAAUGGCAUGGUUUGUGCCCCAGGGGAGCUACGGAGUUGGAUUUUCUGCCGCAGAGUUUGCUGUCAAUGUCGCCUCAUUGGGAAGGAGCCUUCCAAACAGAACAGCCCCACUUGUGCCCAGAUCUUGGGUUCUCUGUUUACCGUUCAACCAAAGGACCUAGAGCUACUUAGGGAAAUGACCCAACCUAGGACUAGAGCUGGGAGCGUGCAAGACUAUCGCCAUCAGGAAGAUCUAUAGUGCCAGGAAGCAAGACAACAGGUCAUGUCAAGUGGGCAUCAGAGCCACUGGAGUUCCCAACAGCCAAGAUAGGAAUAUGAGCAACACAAUAAAACAGCCUUGAUAAUAACCCCAAGCAUAAAGCCAGCAUCCAAAAGCCCACACUGAUAGAAACGAAAAGAGACAGAGGGGACACAAUACACUUUCCAGGCCACUCGUGUGGGCUGACAAAGGACAAAUCAUGUUGCUGCAGACAGAGAGCUGCCAAACAUCAUUACUGGGUCACCUGAUCCAAGUCAAGGUCAAGUAUUGUUAAUAGGAUUUGAGAAGCCAGCUGUUCCCCACUGGCAUUUCAAUUCAGAACACACAAAGCUACUGUGGGGGAGGGAGAGGUGUGUCCAUAGUUGGGUGUCCUGAGCCCUCUGCUCCACAGAUAGUGUCGCACACUGAUCUGGUUUUUGAGUUUCCUUAAGCUGAUGGUUCCACAGGUGAGUAAUUCACCGGAUUUUCUCCAUGGCCUAACAACUAGAACUAGCAGCCAAGGAGAAAUUCUGAUCUCCUGAAAUUAGGAAAAAAGAAAAACGCACACAGCUGUCCUGAAUUAAAAUACCUGGUCCAGGGCAUCAUUGUUAUUUAGAACAUUUACUAGAAAAAACAGAUGUGAAAUUGGGCUGAAAUCCCCCACUGGGGGCCAGUGUUUAAAGAUACAGAGCAGGAGUUCAGUUCAGGAGGUGUUAGCAAUAACUGGUACCGAGUCCUGGCCGCCUGGGUGUGAAUUCCAACCACUGUUUCUUUGUAUUUUGUUUCCAGGCAAGAAUGCCUCAGCACCUUCAUCUUCUGGAUGGGAUGGUACCUACCCCUUACAGGAUGCCUGAAAAUGGGUCUUCACAGACGUAUCUUCAGGGACAUGAGAAGUCAUGUUUGGGAGGGGCGAGAGACUCAAAAGAAGCUGAGGGCUCAGCUUCAACAGCCAGUGUCUUGGGUGCACAUCUCAGUUCUGGAGGAGAAAGCCAUGCUGUCUUGCCAGGGCAGAAAUGCCUAGUAACGGUAGCAUGCGAAAGUAACCAGAAUGACUGACUUAUGGCAAUCAGCACACCCACUAAAGGGUGACUUCAUGAAAAGACCACAAGAGACAGCACUUGAAAAGGACAGUGGGAGAAGGCGGCUUUGGUACAGGCACUCCACUGGGAGAGAGGACGUAAGUGGGAAAACCCUGGGAGGAAGGAUGACCGACAACAGGUACAGAGUGGAGAGAAAGCAUAUGGGAAGAUGCUGACGUUGUACCUGACAGUCUCCAUCUGGCCUGCUGCCAAUCACAGCUAUCACAUGUCUAUCAUGAAUAAACGAGCAUCUUCAGGCAUGCUUCCUGAAAGGCUGCUUAAUUAUCUUCCUGCUUCCCUGCUCUGUGACAAGCCAAACGUUUCCUGGUCCAGCCACUUCUCUCUAGGACUUUCCUGGUCUUCAGUGCUGAAUUGAGGACGGAACAGAGCCUGUGUGGUAGGACUUGGUAAGUAGCACCAUGCCUCAGCGGGUGAUAUAGUGGAAUGUAAUCCCCACUGGGGGGUGUUAAAUGGUUGGAUAUAUAAUCUGACUGGUCAGGUGGAGCCUCAUGGAGGUUAUUACAGUUAGAGGGGACCCUGGUUGGAGAAAGACCAGACCCAUGCAUAAAUAUUUGAGGACCCUGACCACAGAAUCCGGAGACAAAAUAAGUCUCCUUUCAUUAAGACUUAUUAAAUUUGUGGACCACGUCACCAGCAACAGGACACAUACUAAUAACUUUUGUAAGUUUCAAGGGGUAUGGAAAGGAGAUAGGGGUUUUACAAGGACCCAGUCGAUGUGCCCUGAAUUAUUCAGUUAACAGAAAGAACAAAACCAAGCAGAGUUACCUGAACCGAAUAUUGGUGACUGUUUCUCUCAGAUUCUCCCAAACUACCAGCAAAGACACAGCGAAGCUCCUAAGGGUAGCCAGAGCGCCAUCUGUAAGCCGAAUGUUUCUCAGUGGACUCUAAAGGCAGGUACAGCGCUACCGGAAACCUAAGUGCUUCUCAGCAAAUGUUUUGCUUGCACUCGCAAUAAGACUUGGAACAAGAUACCCGAGAUGUCUUAGGUCACUAAACAGAUGGAGAGUAAAGUCUGAUGAAUCAACCUGAAAGACUCCUUUCUCUUAGGAGCACCAGGAGGUUAGGUUGUUAGGGCUACAGUGACCGGAGGUCCACAGGUGGACGUUUCAGAGCAACAGGAGGGGACGGACAGUCCCCCACCUGUGAGGCUGAAAUCAGGAUGGGUGACCAGGCCUCUCUACAGCAGCAAGACCCAUGAUGACACACCAGCUUUCCACGUCUGUGUCCAAAUGUCCCCUUUUAUCAGAGCCUCAGGGACAGAUGUGGAGCCAAGUUUGCCAAUCGGAUCCUAGACUCCAUUUCCAAAUAAGGUUGCCUUUUUGGUGCUGGGGUUAACGCUGUAAUGUAUGGACAGACACCAUCCACCCAUGACAAACAGAAUGGAAAAUUCCAGGUGGGUUCACGGCCUCCUUCCCUCCCUUUUUAUUAACUGCAAAGGUGAAUACAAAGUUUAAAACCUGGCAAGGGAACCUAAAUCAAAUACUGCUUUCUGCUUCAGGUCCUUGAUUUUACCGAGGCUAAGACACUUCUUUUUGCUUUUGUAUGCACAUGUAUGUGCAGGAAGACUUGUAACUAUAGAAACACAAGUCAGAGGUUGAUCAAGGGUGUUUCUCAAUCAUUCUUGACCUUACCUUUCUUCCCGCUCUGAACCAGAGCUGGCCCAUUUGGGUAGACAGGCUGCCCUGUGCUUCUCUGACUCAUGGGAUCUAGCAUUGGAAUCUAGCUAGCAUUGAGACAGUGUUGGGAUGGCUGGGUAGGCUGUCCACUGCACAAAAGUGCUCCAGUGACUCCACUUGCCAAGGUCCAUCUGGAUCAGUGCCCGUGCCUACUGUGUACAAAGGGGCUCCAAGGCAGCUGAGUCUGUAUUUUGUACAGAUUCUUUUCCACUUCUUCUGGAGCAGAGGGGCCCCAUUCUUGGCACCAGCUCCCCAAAGCUAAAGCAAUGGGAAAUUCAAGAAGAGAAAAACCCAGUGCUCUUCAAAGGCCAUUUGUGAAGUCAGUCGGAAGCUGGGCCACUGUGAGCAGCCGAAGCUGUUAGGGCUCCCUGAUUAUCACAGUUUGUUACAAGCGUCAGAAAGCGUUCAAAGGAAAAGGGAUCCUCAAACAAGUUUUGGGUUAAUGAGUGAAUCCAGUAAAUUUAGCAGCCUGAUUCUUGGCUUUCAUUGAGUGGCCUGGGUCCUGGUAACAGGUGGUCUGUUACCUUUCAGAAAUAGUUGUCCCCUACUCACAGUGCUCCUGGGGAGACACGGGCCACUUGGUCAGCAGUUUUUACCUCAGUCCAGAUCUAGAGCCUAGCAGGAACUAUGAUGUCCUUCAUGGUCAUAUAUGUGGCAGGGAUUUCCAGCUCAGAUAGCCAGUUCCUUCCCCAAGGGACAUCUUCCUCACUGCCUACUCCACAGUUUCCUCCCUCACAUCCACAACACAGUCUAUCCAGACAAACAGACUUCUGGGACACACUAGUUACCCCAGGAUAAACACAAAAAUCAAAGCAACAUGGCUCUACAUGGCUCUGAAGGAAGGUCCUGGCAAAGUGGGCACUGCACGGAUGGCCACCUGUUCUUUGAGGUUGGCUUCUUAUCUGGAUCACUGGUCUGCAAUACAGCCUCUCCUGUAUGGUUACAAUACAGCAGGCCCCGCGGAGAAGCCAUCCUUUGAGACCACUAGAGUGUACCUCUGCUCUCUUUUCCUUAGACGGCAGCUUGAUAGCCCUAGCCUACCCCCUCCCACAGCUUGCUCUUAAGGCCUCAUCUGACAAUCUUCUCACUUGAACUGGACCUUUUAGAUCCACUAAGGCUCCCGAACCUCUCCCUUAUCUCACUGGAUCAGGCAAUUUCCAGACCAUGCCGGUGUGUGAACUGUGAUCCGAGGGUGAGCAGCAAGAUGCGAAUGAGUCACAAGAGCAAAUACUACUUUUCUGCUCUUUACACGCCCCCCAAUUCAUGACUUCACAGAGAGCAGGAGCCACAGACACAAGAAAUGACAACUGCUUUGUUGACUCCCAGGUUGUCAUGGAUGGGUUAUGUGGCCCUAGAACUACAUCACAGACCUGC